GCAGCGCGUGUCACUAGGGAACUUUCCCUAUCUCUUCCAAGACCCCCGCGCAGAUUGGGCUUCUCGUGGGAGCGCCGGAGGGAAACUCUGCCGCCGCCGUUGACUGCAGCAGCCGGCUCCGUCCUCUUCUUCCCCAGCCAGGUCCAUUGUGAGAGGAGCUUGUGCUGAUCUGCAUGCGUCGGUGGCCAUGGGCCUGAUGUCGCCUUGGCGUUGGGGCUUCUCUGGUUCAUGGAUCGAGGACGUCGAUGCAGUGGGAGGGGAUUGGUGCGCACCGGCGAUGUGCUCAAGGGCAAGGUGUGUCGCUAGACGCCAUCCUGAAGCUCGGAAGGCAUUUCACAUGUUCACUUAUACAUCAAAAAGGUAUUUCACAUGUUCACUUAUACAUUCUCCAGAAGUGGUGAGCUGCUUUCUGCACCUCCAAAGUUUGCCCCGCCAAAGUUUGAAGGUGAGUGAACAGACCUUUCUUAAUAUUGAACACUUUGAAAACUUGGUGAACCAUAUUGCUGGAAGUUGUAUGGGAACUAAAAGAAUUCAUAUUUGGCAUGAACUGAGAGGUGGAAUGUUUUGAGAAAACUAGGAUGGUGGGAUGCUUUGAGCAAACUGAGACGGUGGCAUGAUCAUAUGUUGGCCAAACUGAAAAUGGCUAAAAUAUGGUCGAAAUUGUGUUGAUGGACCAUAUGAAAGGUCAACGGCUAGAGGAUACGGAGGAAAGCUUCACUGUUGCUGCCCAAUAGCUAGAUGCAGGUGAGCCGCACGUCCAGAAGCCAACGGCUAGGAGUCGCAGCACACAACGGCUAGUAGAAUGUAAUUGUAGCGGGUAGUAGUUGGUUGGUAGUUACGUGUUGGUUGGCAGUUGAGAGAUUUGUGGAGAGAUAUUGUAGGAUCACUGGACCAGUAAAGAGGCCUAGAGGGGGAGUAAAUAGGCCUGUAAAAACUCAACUCCAAAUUCUCGUUAGA